rnacentral:rRNA from 1 species
AUGGGAGUCGGGAGGACCUGAAGGCCACGGUUUGGUUGUAAGACGCUGUUUAGGGUAAAACCGAUGACUGGGGCU